CAGCAGCCACGGGAAUACGGAGGGAGCUAGCGUUGUUCGGAAUUACUGGGCGUAAAGCGCGCGUAGGCGGUUACUCAAGUCAGAGGUGAAAGCCCGGGGCUCAACCCCGGAACUGCCUUUGAAACUAGGUGACUAGAAUCUUGGAGAGGUCAGUGGAAUUCCGAGUGUAGAGGUGAAAUUCGUAGAUAUUCGGAAGAACACCAGUGGCGAAGGCGACUGACUGGACAAGUAUUGACGCUGAGGUGCGAAAGCGUGUGGAGCAAACGGGAUUAGAUACCCGUGUAGUCCCUGUCUCUUAUAC
rnacentral:rRNA from 1 species